rnacentral:misc_RNA from 1 species
AACCAUAGAAACCUGCGGAGUACCUGCGGAAGGAUCAUUACAGAGUUGCAAAACUCCCACAAACCAUCGCGAAUCUUACCCGUACGGUUGCCUCGGCGCUGGCGGUCCGGAAGGCCCUCGGGCCCCCGGACCCUCGGGUCUCCCGCUCGCGGGAGGCUGCCCGCCGGAGUGCCGAAACCAAACUCUUGAUAUUUUAUGUCUCUCUGAGUAAACUUUUAAAUAAGUCAAAACUUUCAACAA